rnacentral:rRNA from 1 species
UACGGAGGGGGCUAGCGUUAUUCGGAAUUAUUGGGCGUAAAGGGCGUGUAGGCGGCUUCGUAAGUCUUUGUGUGAAAGCCCUCGGCUCAACCGAGGAAUUGCACGAGAAACUGCGUGGCUCGAGUCCGGGAGAGGAUAGUGGAAUUCCCAGUGUAGCGGUGAAAUGCGUAGAUAUUGGGAGGAACACCGGUGGCGAAGGCGGCUAUCUGGACCGGUACUGACGCUGAUACGCGAAAGCCAGGGGAGCAAACAGG